AUGUGGGCAGGUUUCUGCGGUCCUAUUGCCAGGACCGGCCGGGGGAGUGGGCAGUGUUCUUGCCCCGGGCAGAGAUGGCGCAGGACUUGCUCCGCCACUCCUCCACUAACCUCUCCCCCUUUCAGUGUGUAUUGGGGUACAUGCCGGUUCUGGCACCGUGGUAUCAGAAUCAGACCGAGGCUCCUGCGGUGGACGAUUGGUUCAGAUGAGGAGACAACAGUCAGUAUAGGCCCUAAUGAGGAGACAACAGUCUAUAUAGACCCUAAUGAGGAGACAACAGUCGAUGUAGGCCAUAAUGAGGAGACAACAGUCUAUAUAGGCCCUAAUGAGGAGACAACAGUCUAUACAGGCCCUAAUGAGGAGACAACAGUCUAUACAGGCCCUAAUGAGGAGACAUCAGACUAUAGAGGCCCUAAUGAGGAGAUAUCAGUCUAUAGAGCCCCUAAUGAUGAGACAUCAGUCUAUAGAGGCCCUAAUGAGGAGACAUCAGUCUAUAGAGGCCCUAAUGAGGAGACAACAGUCUAUAGAGGCCCUAAUGAGGAGACAACAGUCUAUAGAGGCCCUAAGGAGGAGACAACAGUCUAUAGAGGCCCUAAUGAUUAGACAUCACAGUGCAUUCAGAAAGUUUUCAGACCCACUGACUUUUUCCACAUUUUGUUACAUUACAGCCUUGUUCUAAAAUUUAAUAAAUAUAAUAUGCUCAGCCAUCUACACACAAUACUCCAUAAUGACAAAGCAAAAUCAGAAUUUAUGACAUUUUUUGCCAAUGUAUUAAAAAUAAAAACUGGAAAUAUCACAAUAUCAUAAGUAUUCAGAGCCUUUGAUCACUACUUUGUUGUUGUAUCUUUGGCAGCGAUUACAGCCUUGAGUCUUGUUGGCUAUGACUCUACAAGCUUGGCAUACCUGUGUUUGGGGAGUUUCUCCCAUUCUUCUCUGCAGAUCCUCUCAAGUUCUGUCAGGUUGACAGAAUGUUGCUGCACAGCUUUUUUCUCUCCAGAGAUGUUCGAUCGUGUUCAUUCCAGGCUCUGGUUGGGCCACUUAAGGACAUUCAGAGACUUGUCCCAAAGUCACUCCUGUGUUGUCUUGGCUGUGUGCAUAGGGUCCUUGUCCUGUUAGAAGGUGAACAUUUACCCCAGUCUGAGAUCCUGAGCGCUCUGGACCAGGUUUUCAUCAACGAUCUCUCUGUACUUUGCUCUGUUCAUCUUUCCCUCGAUCCUGACUAGUCUCCCAGUCCCUACCGCUGAAAAACAUCCUAACAGCAUGAUGCUGCCACCACCAUGCUUCACUGUAGGGAUGGUGCCAGGUUUCCUCCAGACGUGACGCUUGGUAUUCAAGCCAAAGUGUUCUAUCUUGGUUUCAUCAGACCAGAUCAUCUUGUUUCUCAUGGUCUGAGAGUCCGUUAGAUGCCUUUUGGCAAACUCCAAGAGGGCUGUCAUGUGUUUUUUUACUGAGGAGUGGCUUCCGUCUGGCCACUCUACCAUAAAAUCCUGAUUUGGUGGAUUGCUGCAGCAGGUUGUCCUUCACGAAGGUUCUCCCAUAUCCACAGAGGAACUCUGGAGCUCUGUCAGAGUGACCAUUGUGUUCUUGGUCACCUCCUUGACCAAGGUGCUUCUCCCCCUACUGCUCAGUUUGGCCUGGCGGCCAGCUCUAUGAAGAGUCUUGGUGGUUCCAGACUUCUUCCAUUUAAGAAUGAUGGAGUUCACUGUGUUUUUGGGGACCUUUAUAAGGCAGAUAUGUCUUGGUAACCUUACCCAGAUCUGUGCCUCGACACAAUCCUCUCUCAGAGCUCUACAGACAAUUCCUUCCACCUCAAGGCUUGGUUUUUGCUCUGACAUGCACUGUCAACUGUGGGACCUUUAUCUCAAGGAUGAUCCAUAUAUAGGGUUCCAUUUGGGACAAACAGGGCUGACGGUAGAGCUGGUUACCGUCCCUGGCUAACAGAAUUACUCAUCAUUUACUGUCAUUUAGCUCACGUUGUUUUAGUGUGCAGCUUACUCAUGACUUCAGAAAGCAGAAAAAUAACCAUUAGAAACUAGCAGAUGACUUUGACAAAGCUCUUUCAGUCUCUUGUUCUGGCCCUUUAAUGAUAGGAAUUCAUUUGUGAGAUACACCCAGAUGUCCUGCUUAAUUAUGUCACGUGAAAUUGUAUGUUUAGUUCAUGGAAUAUAUUAACCUGCUUCGCAGGCAAUUUUAAAGAACAAAUGUUUGAUGGUUCUUUAUACUUAGUGUUUGUUUGUGUUUGUCUGUUGUGCGUGCGUGGCACUUAGCUGGCAUGGUGAAUAGACAAGUGUGUUUCACCUGGAAUUUCCAGUUGAACAAAAAGUAGAGCCGUCAUAAAUUGUCAAUUCAAAAACAAUCCGGGGUCAACAGGGAGACUGUUUUCUAAUUGACUGGUUAGGGGGGUUGUUUACAAGGUUUCCACUGAAUUUGUGACUGUUAAUGAUGAUGCACGGACACAGAGAGGGUUCUUCAAUUCCACCGAAAGGGUUCUAGAAGUCCUACCCCCCCCCCAUCCAGUGAAAAUGCUCCUACAAUGAAGAUUGAUUUAUUUUAAACUGAAUGUACACUGAGGACAUCACACGUUACGAACACCUUCCUAGUAUUAAGUUGCACCCCCUUGAGAACAGCCUCAAUUCAUCAGGGCAUGGAUUCUACAAGGUGUGGAAAUCGUUCCACAGGGAUGCUUGGCCACGUUCACUCCAAUGCUUCCCACAGUUGUGUCCAGUUUUCUUACCAGGACGUGUAUUCCCAGCAUGCGCUGACCAACUGGUAAGUGUCUUCACUGACAUUUUCAACCUGUCCCUGACGGAGUCUGUACAACCAACAUGUUUCAAACAGACCACCAUAGUCCCUGUGCCCAAGAACACUUCCCCCUUAAGAGACUGAAAAGAUUUGGCAUGGGUCCCCAGAUCCUCAAAAAGUUCUACAGCUGCACCAUCGAGAGCAUCUUGACUGGUUGCAUCACCGCCUGGUAUGGCAACUGCUCGGCAUCCGAGGUACUACAGAGGAUAGUGUGUACGGUCCAGAACAUCACUGGGGCCAAGCUUCCUGCCAUCCAGGACCUAUAUAAUAGGCGGUGUCAGAGGAAAGCCCAUAAAAUUGACAGAGACUACAGUCACCCAAGUCAAAGACUGUUUCCUCUGCUACCCCACGGCAAGCGGUACCGGAGCUCCAAGUCUGGGACCAAAAGGCUCCUUAACAGCUUCUACCCCCAAGCCAUAAGACUGCUGAACAAUUAAUCAAAUGGCCACCGGACUAUUUACAUUGUCAACCCCCCUCUGAACAUCUAUGUGCUGAAGGUGGUGCCAGGACAACAACCUCUCCCUCAACGUGAUCAAGACAAAGGAGAUGAUUGUGAACUAAAGGAAAAGGAGGACCGAGCCACGCCCCCAUUCUCAUCGACGGGGCUUUAAUGGAGCAGGUUGAGAGCUUCAAGUUCCUUGGUGUCCACAUCACCAGCAAACUAUCAUGGUCCAAACACACCAAGACACAAGACUCCUGAACUUCUAAUCAAAUGGCUACCCAGACUAUUUGCAUUGCCCCCC
rnacentral:lncRNA from 1 species